AGCAGAAAAGCUCCACUUUGCCUCAAGUGUGCCAUCUACUGGCAUAUGGGAAGAACAGCGCUGAAAUAACAAACCCUGGAGGAAGCUAGUGACAUGAACAGGCAUUUGUACACCCAAGGAUAAACAACGUUGCACAGAGAAUGUGGACCAGAGCAUUCGGCUGUUCAUAAAUUUGUAACAGCACCUUCCUACAGGCAAAUAUUAAAUACCUACUGUGUUAGAGAUCUCUUUCCAUUUUUUAGCUAACGUAAAAAAUGAAUAAAGAGACCGGUAAGGCUGGUGAGAAGAGGAAGAGGACUGCAGGUGUAGACAAAGAUCCGUCCACGUCGAAACAAAAACAACGGGAGAGCAUUCCUGCCAGAGUAAAACCCAGAGAUUAUAACAAGGAGAAUUAUAUAAAA